CGGACCUCGGGGAAGGGGUGGCGCCACCAAAAAGCCCUUCCAAUACUCUUCUGCCUGGCACCGCCUGGUCGCCACUAGCCCGGAUGCCACACCCUGCACACGCUGAGAACUGGAACUAAGGCCAUGACUUGGGCUAGCACAUCGCCCCCUGGUGGCUAGGAGGCCAACUCAGGGCCGCGCGCACACACAACAGCACUGGCUGCGGGUCUUUCGUGAAUGUCUGGAAAUAAGCCCACUGCAAACCAUGUGCGGGGCCCGAGCCGCACACAAAAGCCACUGAGUUCACGGGUCUGCACGCAGCACCGCUGGGGGCCACGGGGCACGAGAAUGCCGACCUUGUCGGAGACCCUCGGGAGCUCGGUGCCCAGGGCAGCCCUCAGCGAUGGAGCCGCCCCUGCCGAGGUGGCACAGGACCCAGCCACUCACCAGCGCUGCUCCCCUCCUCCACCUUGCUGACAAAGAUCCCCAGACCAUGCUCGGAGCCGCCCCGCACGCUGAACCCCAGCCUCCCGGCUGGACUCUUCUCCACGUGGACUGCAUGGAUGACGUCACUUUCGUCGCUGUUGGCUGUGAGGAAGGGGACACAGGUGUGAGCCUGCGUUCAGUCUGGGCACAGAGGGCCCCUGGCUUCCCCAAUGUGGGGCCUGUAAAGGAUGGGCUGCUGGGCACAGCCACAUGAGCACUGAGGGUCCUAACGGGUGUGCACGUCAAUUCCCAGGUGCCCCGUUUUGAGACCAUGGGCCGCAGAGGGUGUGGGAGCGGGUGAGAGCAGCUAGACAGUAUGUGUGUGUCUGUGUCCAAUGUUUACAGUUUCCCAUGCCCACAUUCCUAAAAGCCCCCACCACUUAGACCGUCAGACCAGAUGGACAGAAAGGAAGGCUCAAGAUUCCACCCUGGAUCACAGCUGAGGGGAGCCCGGCCCUUCGAGCACACUGACACCAACUUCAAUAACUGUGGCACCGUCCUGUAGGAAGCAUGAAAUGUUCUUGCCUGAGGAACCCAGAGGGCAGAACCAAGCCCACAUUGCAGAAUUAGAUGUAGUCACGCUAAAUUGCCUAGUACGCUGGUCUCAAACUGGUGAUCCUCCCACUUGCCUCUAAAGCAGCUGAGGUUACCAGCGAGCGCCACACUGCCAGGCCCCUCCUUCUGCUCCUGAAGCCUAGGGACAGAGCCGGUCGCACUGCCUUCCUUGAGCCUCACCUGCAAAGGCGCACACACAUGGAUUUUGAGAAGGGGCAUCCUUACCAGGCCAGCGCAGGGCCCGACCCACCUUCGAUGGGGGAGUUGAUGAGGAUCACUCGGCCCAUGGGCGAGGAGGCUCGGAUUCCGCGGGAGGGCCCACUCAGCAGCCGCUGUUGCCUUCUCAACAGGUCUCAAGCCCCGCCUCUCCCACCCGGGAUAGAGGUCUGUGGGUCCAGCUCGCUGGCUCGGACCUGUGGCGCCAUUCCACCACAGAAUGGACGCGGAACUCUCUGCACCCCUCAUUUCCACUCUCCCUGAUCCCCAGUCCUCCGCAGAGGUAAAGCUGAACAUGGAGAAGGGUUGCAAGGAGACGCCGGGCCCUGGGCCUUCAAGAGGAGUGAGAAAAUGCAGGAUCAUCCCCAGGGUCUUCUCUCGCGUGUGCGGGGAGGGUUCGGCCUGGGGAUGGAGCUCAGGACCCCAGAUCCCCGGGCCCAGGCUGCGGCUCGGUGUGCAGCGGCUGCAUGGCUUCUCCGCACGCAUGGGCGAAGGAUCUGCUGGCA